rnacentral:tRNA from 1 species
GGGUAGGUACCGAAGCGGUCAAACGGGGCAGACUGUAAAUCUGCUGGCUAUGCCUUCAGUGGUUCGAAUCCACUCCUGCCCACCA